UUGAAAGGGAAACGAUUGAAGUCAGUCAUACCAACGGGAAAUCAACCUUUUGAGCUUGGUCUCGUGGGUUUUGAAGAGUUUCAAAGCCUUCGGAUUCGCGGGAUUGGGAUCUCUCGGUGUACUUUCUCGUACGGUUAGUCAACAUCGGUUUUGAAUGUCAUAAAAUGACUGGAGGAAUGUAGCUUCGAUCUCGUAUUGAAGUGUUAUAGCCUUUGGUAGAUGUGAUGUUUGAGACCGAGGAUUGCAACGGAUACCCUUCAGGGCUAUUCGUCUGAUCUCUGAUACGUUGCCUUGAUGUUGAAAGCUUGCUUAUGAUGUUAGGGUAUUACGGUCAAAAGGUUAGAACGAAUUACAUUCGUUAAGGAUGUUGACGUA
rnacentral:rRNA from 1 species